ACGCUCGACACCUACGGGAGGCGGCAGUAGGGAAUCUUCCACAAUGGACGCAAGUCUGAUGGAGCAACGCCGCGUGAGUGAAGAAGGUUUUCGGAUCGUAAAGCUCUGUUGUUGGUGAAGAAGGAUAGAGGUAGUAACUGGCCUUUAUUUGACGGUAAUCAACCAGAAAGUCACGGCUAACUACGUACCAGCAGCCGCGGUAAUCUGAGCGGGCUGGCAAGGC
rnacentral:rRNA from 1 species